rnacentral:lncRNA from 1 species
AUGGGACAGGACGAGAAGUGCUGCCAAUGCCCGUGUCCUUCCCCAGUACAGAGGUCCACGCAUUCUCCCUCCCUCACGCGCUCUCUCUCUCUAUCUCCUCCUCUUUUAAUAGUAUAGACAUCUAAAAAAAAGUCAAAAAAAUAACACAUCACGGAGUGCUCUAGGUAGCAGCUCCCUUUUUCCAACCUGCAGAGUUCCCAUGGAGUGAUCAGCCACGUACAAGGCCACCAAAUUCGCGGCCCCAUUAGCCUCUCUAUAAAGAUGCUCGAUCU